rnacentral:sRNA from 1 species
ACAAAAUUGCAGGGAUGACAGCAUUAAUAAGCAGCGCCAUGACAGCAAAAAAAAAAAAGAAAAAAUCAAAACAGCAGAGGGGAAAACGUUAAGUUAUUGCAGCCAAAUGAAAAAGUUGAAACAUUCUCAAGCAGUAGCAAGCAUGAUGAUUGACAAAAUGAAAUGAGAACAUCACUCAGUGCAGUAUGCAAUUGAAUGUUUAUUGAGUUUUUUUUUAUGAUUUAUUAACAGCGAUAGUGAAGAAUAAAAUCUCAUAUCCUGCUGCAUGCAGAUAAAUUGGCUAUAUGAGAAAAUUCAAA